UUUUUACUUAGGCCUAAAAUAAAAUUUCAUUUGUUUGGCAUUGCCGCCCGACCCACUGAAAAACUUGCCGCCCAAAUAAUUUUAUUUGCGUUUCAGAAAUUUAUUUUUUUUUAUUUAAAAAAAAUCGAAAUUGUGCCGGAAUUUGAUCGUAUCCGCCGAGUUUGUUCCUGGCUUUACUUAUUUCAAAUCAUGAUCUUAAAAGCGCUUGCCUUACACUGUAUUGGGAGCAAACAUUUAAAUGACAUGGAAUAGAAAAAGUCUGCCAAAAGUAAUGUCAAAGAGGCCGGCAGGGGAAUCAUUUCCCUAUGUUGCAAUGCAUUGGUUAAGGGAGAUGGAUUUAAUCAAAAAUCAAAUUUUCAGCUAUUCUUUGAAAGAAACGUUCUGAGACACCUUGUCAUGCUUGUAGAGGACUCAAAUUUUAUCUUUUGUAAAGCAGAAACAGAUGAUUUCUGCUCGACUUUGUCGCUUCAUGAGAUAGAAGUUUUUCACCGGGACAUCACAGAACAAAUAUGCGUGGCUCUUAAAUUUGUUGAAUAUGCGUGGCUCUUACAUUUGUUGAACUUAUUAAAUAUUUGAAAUUUAUCAUUGACAAAUUUUCCCUUGAACCAGAGAACAAAGUAUCUACUAUAGUCAGAACCACAAUGAUGCAUUCAAGAUAAUUAUGGCUGUAAGCACCAAAGCUUAAAGACCAAAAUGGUCCCAGAUUUACAGGUUUAUAGUAGUUUUGUACCAGUAGAUGCUAGCCUGGUACAAAACAUACAUAUUUUAAAGACUAGCAUCUUGUGUCAAUUGAAGUACUUCCCCUUUUCUUGCCUUUCUUCUUAACAUGAAUAAGAUAAUUCUUAAAACAUAAAAGAUACUGACAGAAACAUAUUUAUAAAUGUAUCUAGUGUACUAGUGAUGAAUAAAAUCCCCUCCUUUUCCACAAUUCUAAGGGCUCAUUAAUUUAUCUGUAUUCAUGUAAUGCAUGUCCAGAUUUCUGUUAAUCAAACAAGCAUUACAACCCAUAAUUUAUUUAUCUGCAAAAAUUGUCUGUCCUGCUGCAUAUUUCCAUUUUGAAUUUAUCAUACGUUUUAAACCUAGCCCUGAAAAACCUUGCACUUGGAUAAUAUUAGUAUAAACACCAUGUCUAUUUGUGCCAACCUUUCAAAUUUUUAAUAUUUUGCUAUCCUAAUUUGGUACAGAUCCUUUAUCCUCAAAACUUAUCAGGGGCAGUAGGCGUGUUUGUAUGGUAGUUUGUCACACCUUACAUGUAUGAUUACUAGCCUCUAGGUAUUGGUUUGAGCCCUAGUUGGGCAGUUGCAAAAUUAAGGUUUGAUUUUCAUGUCAUAUGUGAUAAGGUUAGUCAGUUUCCUCCCGCAGGUUGGCGUUUUCCUUCAAGUACUACGGUUUAGUACGCCACUAAAACUGACUGCCAUGAAAUUACCCAUAUGGUGUAGAAAGUGAUGUUUAUAAAACCAAAGCAAACAAUCAAAGUUUUAAAUCUUUGUCCAUUUGUACAAGGAGCCGUAGUGGUUGAGCCAUUUAACUUAUGGUAAUUUUACCAAACUGUGACCACAACUUCAAGAUGUGACAUCAGGCCUCUGUUCAAUGGGCAGUCCCACAAUAAAAGUUCAAUUUUCACGUCAUACAUUUUAUAUGGUUAAUUUGUCAGUUUCCUGCCUCAGUUCUGUGUUUUUUUCUGGGUACUUUGGUUAACUCUGCCAAUAAAACUGACUGUCUUACAUGAAAUUAUCCAUAUGAUGUAGAAUGUGACAUUGACGGUUGACCCCUUUCAAAGAAACCACCAGCAUGUACACACAACAAUGCUGCAAUGCUUUAGACAACAUUGAUCUAGAGACUUCAUGAUUUACAUGUAUAAAGCUUUUAAAUGUAAAAAAAAAAAAAAAAAUCCCUACCUACCUACCCACCUGCUGAUAGUGUGGGUCGGCAAUGCCAAACAAACAAUUUUUUAAGGGUGGCCUACCCAAUUUUUG
rnacentral:lncRNA from 1 species